GCCGCUGCCGCUGCCGCUGCCGCUGCCGCCGAAGUGACCGCGCGCGACGACAAGCAGAAGCAGGGAGGCGCGGAUGCGGACGAACGUGACCUACCCCCGCCCGCGGCCUCGGCCUCGGAGUUUUUUUAUAUUAUUAUUAUUUUUGGCGAGCAAAGCCAAACUGGACUCGCCAACCUGGAGAGCCACGUACGUACGGCGGGUGGCGACAACCGGACGACCGCCCGCUCGGAGGAGAAACGAGGCGCGAGCCUGCUCGGUCGACCGGCGGCGGCGGCGGCGCAGGGCGUUCCAUUUCUUUCCGGCGUGCUGUUCGUUUGCCUUGCGUGCCGGACCUUUGUUAGG
rnacentral:misc_RNA from 1 species